rnacentral:rRNA from 1 species
CCUACGGGAGGCAGCAGUGAGGAAUAUUGCACAAUGGAGGAAACUCUGAUGCAGCAACGCCGCGUGGAGGAUGACGCAUUUCGGUGUGUAAACUCCUUUUAUGAGUCAAGAAAAUGACGGUAGCUCAUGAAUAAGCACCGGCUAACUCCGUGCCAGCAGCCGCGGUAAU